GGUCAAGCUACUAAGGGCAGACGGUGGAUGCCUCGGGCGCGGGAGGCGAUGAAGGGCGUGGUAAGCUGCGAAAAGCCUCGGGGAGCCGCAAACAGGCGUUGAUCCGGGGAUGCCCGAAUGGGGAAACCCACCUGGGGUAAUGCCCAGGUAUCCGCAAGGGUAACCUUGCGGAGGCCAACCCGGGGAAGUGAAACAUCUCAGUACCCGGAGGAAAAGAAAUCAACCGAGAUUCCCUGAGUAGCGGCGAGCGAAAGGGGAACAGCCUAAACCGAUCGGGUGUCGAAGCCCGUGGGCGUUGCUCGAUCGGGGUCGUGGGGGUGUACCGGAGGGAGCCACGGAUCCCUCGGGAAGUCAAAAAGUCCUUUCUCUAGCCGAAGGCGCCUGGAAUGGCCCGCCAUAGAGGGUGAGAGCCCCGUAGGCGAAAGAGAAGGGGCCUUCCUGGGUACACUACCCAAGUAGCACGGGACACGUGGAAUCCCGUGUGAAUCUGGGGGGACCACCCUCCAAGGCUAAAUACUCCCCGCGCACCGAUAGUGCACAAGUACCGUGAGGGAAAGGUGAAAAGAACCCCGUGAGGGGAGUGAAAUAGAACCUGAAACCGUCUGCCUACAAGCUGUCGGAGCCGGAUUUAUCCGGUGACGGCGUACCUUUUGUAUAAUGGGCCAGGGAGUUAUUCUCGGCGGCGAGGUUAAGCCGUGAGGCGGAGCCGUAGCGAAAGCGAGUCCGAAUAGGGCGUCUAGUCGCCGGGAAUAGACCCGAAGCCGAGCGAUCUACCCAUGGCCAGGGUGAAGGAAGGGUAACGCCUUCUGGAGGCCCGAACCGGUUGAGGGUGAAAACUCAUCGGAUGAGCUGUGGGUAGGAGUGAAAGGCUAAACAAGCUCGGUGAUAGCUGGUUCUCCCCGAAAUAUAUUGAGGUAUAGCCUCGGGUGGUCGCUGCCGGAGGUAGAGCACUGGUUGGGCUAGGGGGCUUACCGGCCUACCGAACCCAGCCAAACUCCGAAUGCCGGCAAGCGUAGCCCGGGAGUCAGCCUGUGGGCGAUAAAGUCCGCAGACGAGAGGGAAACAACCCAGAUCGCCAGCUAAGGCCCCCAAAUCCGGGCUAAGUGGUAAAGGAGGUGGGCCUGCUUAGACAACCAGGAGGUUGGCUUAGAAGCAGCCAUCCUUUAAAGAAAGCGUAACAGCUCACUGGUCGAGUGGGCCCGCGCCGAAAAUCUAACGGGGCUUAAGCCCGGUGCCGAAGCUGCGGGUUCAUGCCGCAAGGCAUGAGCGGUAGGGGAGCACUCCGGUUGCCGUUGAAGGCAGGUCGUGAGGCCUGCUGGAGGUCCCGGAGGAGAGGAUCCUGGCACGAGUAGCGAUAAAGGGGGUGAGAAUCCCCCUCGCCGUAAGCCUAAGGUUUCCUGGGCAAGGUUCGUCCUCCCAGGGUUAGCCGGCCCCUAAGGCGAGGCCGAAAGGCGUAGCCGAUGGGAAUGGGGUUAAUAUUCCCCAGCCACCAGAGUGGAGACCAAGGGGUGACGCAGGAGGAAAGGGCUCCGGGGUCGUUACUGGAAGACCCUCCAAACCUGUAGGCCGAUGACGGACCGAGGCAAAUCCCGGUUCCGAGGCUGAGGGGGAGUAAGUAACCGGGAAUUUAUCCCGGGAAGGAGCUCGGCCCACACUGCCAAGAAAUAGCCUCGUGGUCGAUGAAGCUCUGGUGACCGUACCGCAAACCGACACAGGUAGGCGGGGUGAGUAUCCUAAGGCGCGUGGGGUAACUCUGGCCAAGGAACUCGGCAAAAUGGCCCCGUAACUUCGGGAGAAGGGGUGCCCGCGUGUAGGUGUAGGUCCUCGCGACCGAAGCCGAGGCGGGUCGCAGUGAAAAGGGGGUGGCGACUGUUUACUAAAAACACAGGACUCUGCUAAGUCGUUAAGACGACGUAUAGGGUCUGACGCCUGCCCGGUGCCGGAAGGUUAAGGGGAGGGGUUAGCCAGCUUCGGCUGGCGAAGCUCCGAACCGAAGCCCCGGUAAACGGCGGCCGUAACUAUAACGGUCCUAAGGUAGCGAAAUUCCUUGUCGGGUAAGUUCCGACCUGCAUGAAUGGCGUAACGACUGCCCCGCUGUCUCGGCCAGAGGCCCAGCGAAACUGUAGUCUCGGUGAAGAUGCCGGGUACCCGCGGUGGGACGGAAAGACCCCGUGAACCUUUACUGCAGCUUAGCAUUGAGUCUUGGGGUGGCAUGUGUAGGAUAGGUGGGAGGCUGUGAAGCCGGGGCGCCAGCUCCGGUGGAGCCACCCUUGAAAUACCACCCUUGUCACUCUAGGGCUCUAACCUGGCAGAGUUAUCCUCUGCAGGGACAGUGCUUGGCGGGCAGUUUGACUGGGGCGGUCGCCUCCUAAAGGGUAACGGAGGCGCGCAAAGGUCCCCUCAGGCGGAUUGGAAACCCGCCGUCGAGUGCAAAGGCAUAAGGGGGCUUGACUGCGAGACCGACGGGUCGAGCAGGGGCGAAAGCCGGCCUUAGUGAUCCGGUGGUCCCGAGUGGAAGGGCCAUCGCUCAUCGAAUAAAAGGUACUCCGGGGAUAACAGGCUGAUCUCCCCCAAGAGUUCACAUCGACGGGGAGGUUUGGCACCUCGAUGUCGGCUCAUCCCAUCCUGGGGCUGGAGAAGGUCCCAAGGGUCGGGCUGUUCGCCCGUUAAAGGGGUACGUGAGCUGGGUUUAGAACGUCGUGAGACAGUUCGGUCCCUAUCCACCGUGGGCGUAGGAGACUUGAGGGGAGCUGCCCCUAGUACGAGAGGACCGGGGUGGACGCACCUCUGGUGGCCCAGUUGUCGCGCCAGCGGCAUAGCUGGGUAGCUAUGUGCGGAAGGGAUAACCGCUGAAAGCAUCUAAGCGGGAAGCCCACCCCAAGAUAAGGUCUCCCGUGGCCGUUAAGGCCCCUGAAGGCCCCUCCAAGACUAGGAGGUUGAUAGGCCGGAGGUGGAAGCCCAGCAAUGGGUGAAGCUUACCGGUACUAAUCGGCCGUGCGGCUUGGCCAC
rnacentral:rRNA from 1 species